GAUGAACGCUAGCGGCAGGCUUAAUACAUGCAAGUCGUGGGGCAGCAUGAGUAGCAAUACUUGAUGGCGACCGGCAAACGGGUGAGGAACACGUACACAACCUUCCUUCAAGCGGGGAAUAGCCCAGAGAAAUUUGGAUUAAUACCCCAUAAUAUAUUUGAUAAGGCAUCUUAUUAAUAUUAAAGCUUCGGCACUUGAUGAUGGGUGUGCGGCUGAUUAGAUAGUUGGCGGGUAACGGCCCACCAAGUCUACGAUCAGUAGCUGAUGUGAGAGCAUGAUCAGCCACACGGGCACUGAGACACGGGCCCGACUCCUACGGGAGGCAGCAGUAAGGAAUAUUGGACAAUGGACGAAAGUCUGAUCCAGCCAUGCCGCGUGAAGGAUUAAGGUCCUCUGGAUUGUAAACUUCUUUUAUAUGGGACGAAAAAGGGCAUUCUUGUUCACUUGACGGUACCAUAUGAAUAAGC
rnacentral:rRNA from 1 species